UACGGAGGGUCCGAGCGUUAAUCGGAAUUACUGGGCGUAAAGCGUGCGCAGGCGGUUUGUUAAGCGAGAUGUGAAAGCCCUGGGCUCAACCUAGGAAUAGCAUUUCGAACUGGCGAACUAGAGUCUUGUAGAGGGGGUAGAAUUCCAGGUGUAGCGGUGAAAUAGCGUAGAGAUCUGGAGGAAUACCGGUGGCGAAGGCGGCCCCCUCGGACAAAGAACUGACGCUCAUGCACGAAAGACGUGGGGAGGCAAACAAGGAUUAGAUACCCCGGUACGGU
rnacentral:rRNA from 1 species